rnacentral:rRNA from 1 species
AAAUUGAAGAGUUUGAUCAUGGCUCAGAUUGAACGCUGGCGGCAGGCCUAACACAUGCAAGUCGAACGGUAACAGGAAACAGCUUGCUGUUUCGCUGACGAGUGGCGGACGGGUGAGUAAUGUCUGGGAAACUGCCUGAUGGAGGGGGAUAACUACUGGAAACGGUAGCUAAUACCGCAUAACGUCGCAAGACCAAAGAGGGGGACCCUCGGGCCUCUUGCCAUCGGAUGUGCCCAGAUGGGAUUAGCUUGUUGGUGGGGUAACGGCUCACCAAGGCGACGAUCCCUAGCUGGUCUGAGAGGAUGACCAGCCACACUGGAACUGAGACACGGUCCAGACUCCUACGGGAGGCAGCAGUGGGGAAUAUUGCACAAUGGGCGCAAGCCUGAUGCAGCCAUGCCGCGU